CAGUGCUAGUGCUGCAAAUCCAUCGAUGGAAAUAUCGAUAGUAUCGAUGGACUUUCUUUUGUUAGAUAGGUCGAUGGAAUUUUCUCGAUGUCGAUAGAUCGCUACAGACGCCAAGCCACAACACAUAGAUACCUAUUUACCACAUUAUUUAAUUGUUGGCGGUUCCUCCACGGAAAAUAUAACAUUUUUUGAUCCCAUCUGAUAAAAGUGCUUCUUCGCCUGCAGACGCCAAUAAGGAAUCUUCAUUUGCUGUUACGGUACACACUGAAAAUAUUGCGCCUCCGAAUAAGCGAAAGAAAUUUGAGAAAUCUUAUGUGUGGAAGUUUUUUGAAAAAUGCCAAGAAAAAAACUUUGUGAAAUGCCUGUUGUGUGGGCAGCAAUAUAAAACGAGCGGGAACACAUCAAAUAUGCAAGAGCAUUUAAAGCGUGCACAUAAUGGAUCUCACGAUAAUUAAUUUCAGCUUUAAGCUCAAGACUUUUGUGAAAGAUAGUCAAGUUUUGUUUUUUAAUUUUAAGUUAAAUUUUAAAACUUGUUAAUUACAGUCGAAAUUUUUGGUUUUUAGUU